UACAGAGGUCUCAAGCGUUGUUCGGAUUCAUUGGGCGUAAAGGGUGCGUAGGCGGCGCGGUAAGUCGGGUGUGAAAUCUUGGAGCUUAAACUCCGUAAACUGCAUUCGAUACUGCCGGUGCUUGAGGACUGGGAGAGGAGACUGGAAUUUACGGUAGUAGCGGUGAAAUGCGUAGAGUAAUCGUAAGGAAGACCAGUGGCGAAGGCGGGUCUCUG
rnacentral:rRNA from 1 species